rnacentral:misc_RNA from 1 species
CCUAGUCCUUCUAGAUUUUCAAUGUCUCCCAAGCUUAGUAGACUGGGAUCAAUUCAUCUCAAUUUGAAUCAGGCUGCAAGAGCUACACACAAUUUUUCUCCAACACAUCGGAUAGGAGAAGGAGGCUUUGGAACUGUCUACAAGGCCCAACUAGAAAAUGGGCAGGUGGUUGCGAUAAAACGAGCAAAGAAGGAACACUAUGAGAACUUGCGAACUGAAUUCAGCAGUGAAGUUGAGCUUCU